rnacentral:rRNA from 1 species
AGUGAACGCUGGCGGCGCGCUUAACACAUGCAAGUCGAACGAGAACGGAAUAUAGCUUGCUAUAUUUGUCAGCUAAGUGGCGCACGGGUGAGUAAUGUAUAGAUAACCUGCCCUUAAGAAAGGAAUAACAGUUGGAAACGUCUGCUAAUGUCCUAUAUGCCUUUAAUACAUAAGUAUGCAAGGGAAACGCUUUAGUGCUUAAGGAUGGGUCUGUAUGGUAUCAGCUUGUUGGUGAGGUAAUGGCUCACCAAGGCUAUGACGCCUAACUGGUUUGAGAGGAUGAUCAGUCACACUGGAACUGAGACACGGUCCAGACUCCUACGGGAGGCAGCAGUGGGUAAUAUUGCACAAUGGACAAAAGUCUGAUGCAGCAACGCCGCGUGGAGGAUGACACAUUUCGGUGCGUAAACUCCUUUUAUAUAGGAAGAUAAUGACGGUACUAUAUGAAUAAGCACCGGCUAACUCCGUGCCAGCCGCCGCUGUAA